AUGGGAAACAGGAAGGGGCUCAUUGGAGGCGGUUACAGAUUUUGCAUGCGACGACGGUGUCGAUCUUUGCCCGCGAUUUUUGAUUCACCCAUCAUUUGUUUUGCUCUGAUAUAGCCACAGGGGGUGCUUGGAAUUAAAUUUCGAGCGGGUAGGAUAAUUUUUUCCUUUUUUGGCGGUCGGAGGUAGCUCUGGAGCGGGGACGGGCAGCAGUUGACUUCUUUCUCCGGCGACUGGU
rnacentral:lncRNA from 1 species